rnacentral:rRNA from 1 species
AUUGAACGCUGGCGGCAGGCCUAACACAUGCAAGUCGAGCGGAUGAAGGGAGCUUGCUCCUGGAGUCAGCGGCGGACGGGUGAGUAAUGCCUAGGAAUCUGCCUGGUAGUGGGGGAUAACGUCCGGAAACGGGCGCUAAUACCGCAUACGUCCUGAGGGAGAAAGUGGGGGAUCUUCGGACCUCACGCUAUCAGAUGAGCCUAGGUCGGAUUAGCUAGUUGGUGGGGUAAAGGCCUACCAAGGCGACGAUCCGUAACUGGUCUGAGAGGAUGAUCAGUCACACUGGAACUGAGACACGGUCCAGACUCCUACGGGAGGCAGCAGUGGGGAAUAUUGGACAAUGGGCGAAAGCCUGAUCCAGCCAUGCCGCGUGUGGGAAGAAGGUCUUCGGAUUGUAAAGCACUUUAAGUUGGGAGGAAGGGCAGUAAGUUAAUACCUUGCUGUUUUGACGUUACCAACAGAAUAAGCACCGGCUAACUUCGUG